rnacentral:SRP_RNA from 1 species
GCCGGAUGUGGUGGCGCAGGCCUGUAGUCCCAGCUACUCGGGGUCUAAGCGGGGAGGAUGACUUGAGCCCGGGAGUUCCAGUGCUCUGCGCUGACUGUUCGAUACACUACAUUCAGCACCCACACAGUGAUCUCCCAGGAGUGGGAGACCCCAGGUUGCUUAAUAAGGGUGAACUGGCCCAGGCUGGAAAUGGAGGAGGUCAAAACUCCUGUGCCGAUCGGCAGUGAGAUCGUGCCCGUGGAUAGCCACCACACUCCAGCCUGGGCAACGUCGCGAGUGAGCCCCCCAUCU